GGCUCGUGAGGGCUGCGCUGCCGCGGAGUGGGCUCGGUGGCCGUGGUGGCGAGCGGCGGAGCUGCCGGGAUGUGCCGAACCGCUGUAAAAGAACCCGGGCAGAAGUUUAGCGUGCAGGAGAGCGCAGCGGGGCUGGUGUACAGCCAGGCCGCUUUUGCAAGCCACACCGGCGCUGUCGUAAGCGUUGCCGGGCUCGGCUCGGGCUGCUGGCGGGCCUCUGGGGUGGUGGUGCCUGGGGUGCAGCUCCAUGGUUGCCCGAGAAGCCACAUCUGUUUUGGCAUGAAGUCUCCAGAGGAGAUGCGUCAGCAAGCUCACAUUCAAGUGGUGAGCAAAAACCUCUAUAGUCAGGACAACCAUCACUCUCCACUGCAGUAUGGAGUACUUGACCAUCGCAUGGGAACCAGUGAAAAAGACCGUCCCUGUGAAACCUGUGGGAAAAAUCUAGCUGAUUGUUUAGGACAUUAUGGAUACAUUGACUUAGAACUGCCCUGUUUUCAUGUUGGAUACUUCAAAGCCGUGAUAGGCAUCUUGCAGAUGAUCUGCAAAACCUGUUGUCAUAUCAUGCUGUCAGUGGAAGAAAAAAAGCAGUUUUUGGAUUACCUGAAGCGACCUGGCCUUACGUAUCUUCAGAAGAGAGGCCUAAAAAAGAAAGUGUCUGAAAAGUGCAGAAAGAAAAACACUUGUCCCUACUGUGGUGCCUUUAAUGGAACUGUGAAGAAGUGUGGCUUAUUGAAAAUAAUACAUGAAAAGUACAAGACCAAUAAGAAAGUCGUAGAUCCAGUAGUAUCUACUUUUCUCCAGUCCUUUGAAACUGCCAUAGAACAUAACAAAGAAGUAGAGCCAUUAUUGGGAAGAGCUCAGGAAAACUUGAAUCCUUUGGUAGUGUUGAACCUCUUUAAAAGAAUCCCAGCAGAAGACAUCCCCCUGCUUCUAAUGAACCCCGAAGCAGGCAAACCUUCAGAUUUGAUCCUCACACGACUCUUAGUGCCUCCACUGUGUAUCAGACCUUCUGUCGUGAGUGACUUGAAGUCUGGAACCAAUGAAGAUGACUUGACAAUGAAGCUCACAGAGAUAAUUUUCCUCAAUGAUGUAAUUAAAAAGCAUAGGAUAUCAGGAGCCAAAACACAGAUGAUUAUGGAAGACUGGGAUUUUCUUCAGCUGCAGUGUGCCCUGUACAUCAAUAGUGAGCUUUCGGGAAUACCUCUCAACAUGGCACCUAAAAAAUGGACCAGAGGUUUUGUUCAGAGACUUAAGGGAAAGCAAGGUCGGUUUAGAGGCAAUCUGUCUGGAAAGAGAGUGGAUUUCUCUGGCAGAACAGUCAUUUCACCUGAUCCUAACUUAAGAAUAGAUGAAGUAGCAGUGCCUAUUCAUGUUGCUAAAAUACUAACCUUUCCUGAAAAGGUGAACAAAGCCAAUAUUAAUUUGAUGAGGAAGCUUGUCCGUAAUGGUCCUGAUGUUCAUCCUGGAGCCAACUUCAUUCAGCAAAGGCACACACAGAUGAAAAGGUUUUUGAAAUAUGGAAACCGUGAGAAGAUGGCACAGGAGCUGAAGUUUGGUGAUAUUGUGGAGAGACACCUUAUAGAUGGUGACAUAGUCCUGUUCAACCGACAGCCCUCUCUUCAUAAGCUGAGCAUCAUGGCUCACAUUGCUAGAGUAAAACCUCACAGGACCUUCAGAUUUAAUGAAUGUGUGUGUACACCAUACAAUGCAGACUUUGAUGGAGAUGAGAUGAACCUUCACCUUCCUCAGACAGAAGAAGCAAAAGCAGAAGCACUUGUUUUAAUGGGGACUAAAGCAAACUUGGUAACACCAAGAAAUGGAGAACCUCUUAUUGCUGCUAUUCAAGAUUUCCUCACAGGUGCCUACCUUCUUACAUUAAAAGAUACUUUUUUUGAUCGAGCCAAAGCCUGUCAAAUUAUUGCUUCUAUCCUGGUGGGCAAGGACGAAAAGAUUAAAGUUCGUCUCCCACCUCCAGCAAUUCUAAAGCCUGUGACACUCUGGACAGGAAAACAGGUUUUCAGCCUCAUUCUAAAACCCAGUGAUGACUGUCCUGUAAAAGCCAAUCUACGAACCAAGGGCAAACAGUAUUGUGGCAAAGGAGAAGACCUGUGUUACAAUGAUUCUUAUGUCACAAUUCAAAACAGUGAGUUAAUGAGUGGCAGCAUGGAUAAAGGAACCUUAGGUUCAGGAUCCAAGAACAACAUCUUCUAUAUCUUGCUGAGAGACUGGGGACAGGUAGAAGCUGCAGAUGCCAUGUCACGACUGGCCAGACUUGCUCCUGUCUAUCUUUCUAAUCGUGGCUUUUCAAUUGGAAUUGGUGAUGUAACCCCUGGGCAGGGCCUGCUAAAAGCUAAGUAUGAGCUCCUGAAUGCUGGCUAUAAGAAAUGUGAUGAGUAUAUUGAAGCUCUGAACACUGGCAAGCUACAGCAGCAGCCUGGUUGCACUGCAGAAGAGACACUAGAGGCUUUAAUCCUUAAAGAACUCUCAGUUAUCAGAGAUCACGCUGGCAGUGCCUGUCUCAGAGAACUGGACAAGAGCAACAGUCCCCUUAUCAUGGCUCUCUGUGGUUCUAAAGGCUCCUUCAUUAAUAUAUCCCAGAUGAUUGCCUGUGUAGGUCAGCAGGCUAUCAGUGGGUCCAGAGUUCCUGAUGGAUUUGAGAACAGAUCCUUGCCUCACUUUGAGAAGCAUUCUAAGCUCCCAGCAGCAAAAGGCUUUGUUGCCAAUAGCUUCUAUUCUGGAUUGACUCCUACUGAAUUUUUUUUCCAUACAAUGGCUGGUCGAGAAGGUCUGGUUGACACAGCUGUAAAAACAGCUGAAACUGGAUACAUGCAGAGGCGGCUGGUAAAAUCCCUUGAAGAUCUUUGCUCACAGUAUGAUUUGACAGUCAGGAGUUCUACUGGUGACAUUAUCCAGUUUAUUUAUGGAGGAGAUGGCUUGGAUCCUGCAGCCAUGGAAGGGAAGGAUGAGCCGCUGGAAUUCAAACGCGUUCUAGACAAUAUCAGGGCUGUUUAUCCAUGCCGAAGUGAACCAGCCCUGAGCAAAAACGAGCUGGUGUUAACAUCCGAGUCCAUCAUGAAGAAGAAUGAAUUUCUUUGCUGCCGAGACAGUUUUCUGCAGGAAAUCAAAAAAUUCAUCAAAGGGGUUUCUGAGAAGAUAAAAAAAACUAGAGACAAGUAUGGCAUCAAUGACAAUGGCACAACAGAGCCACGAGUUCUGUAUCAGUUGGAUAGGAUUACUCCAACACAACUAGAGAAGUUUCUAGAGACUUGUAGGGACAAAUACAUGAGGGCACAAAUGGAGCCUGGUUCUGCAGUAGGAGCCCUCUGUGCACAGAGCAUCGGGGAACCUGGCACUCAGAUGACUCUGAAGACUUUCCAUUUUGCUGGUGUUGCUUCAAUGAAUAUUACUUUGGGUGUGCCAAGAAUCAAAGAAAUCAUUAAUGCUUCAAAGGCUAUUAGCACCCCUAUUAUAACAGCACAGUUGGACAAAGAUGAUGAUCCCGAUUUUGCCCGUCUGGUUAAAGGAAGGAUUGAGAAAACUUUAUUAGGAGAGAUUUCAGAAUAUAUCGAGGAAGUGUUUCUUCCAGAUGAUUGUUUCAUCCUUGUGAAGCUGUCUUUAGAGCGUAUUAGGCUACUGAGAUUAGAGGUGAACGCAGAGACUGUGCGCUACUCUAUUUGCAUAUCUAAACUCAGGGUAAAGCCUGGGGAUGUUGCUGUCCAUGGAGAAGCAGUUGUGUGUGUGACCCCUCGUGAAAACAGCAAGAGUUCCAUGUAUUAUGUAUUGCAGUCCCUGAAGGAAGAACUACCCAAGGUUGUAGUGCAAGGUAUACCAGAGGUUUCCCGAGCUGUCAUUCAUAUCGAUGAACAAAGUGGAAAGGAAAAAUACAAACUUCUAGUUGAAGGUGAUAAUCUUCGAGCUGUUAUGGCUACUCACGGGGUGAAGGGAACAAAAACAUCUUCUAACAACACUUAUGAGGUAGAGAAGACACUAGGAAUUGAAGCUGCUCGGACAACCAUCAUCAAUGAGAUUCAGUAUACGAUGGUCAACCAUGGUAUGAGCAUUGACAGGAGGCACGUUAUGUUGCUGUCUGAUCUAAUGACCUACAAGGGUGAAGUUCUGGGUAUUACCAGGUUUGGACUGGCAAAAAUGAAGGAAAGCGUGUUGAUGCUGGCUUCUUUUGAAAAGACUGCAGACCAUCUCUUCGAUGCUGCCUACUUUGGACAGAAGGAUUCUGUUUGUGGUGUUUCUGAGUGCAUCAUCAUGGGAAUUCCGAUGAAUAUUGGAACGGGACUCUUUAAACUGUUGCACAAAGCAGACAAAGAAUCAACUCCUCCUAGGAGGCCUCUGAUAUUUGAUAAUAAUGAAUUUCAUAUUCCCAUUGUUACAUAGCACUUGGCCAUCAUACAAGAUAGCAAAACAAGGAAUAGCAGGAAAACAUCAUUUAAAUCAAGAAACGUGUAGUAUCGGUGUCUCGGUAACUGUGAAUUGUGAGAUCUCUUUACUGAGUGGCUGAGACUGAAAUGUGAGAACAGUUUUCUGUCCUGAUACCAGUUAAAUGGCAAAGCAGUAGGAGUAGCUGAAUAAUUACUUCCAAAAACACAUCAGUAGGUACUUGGUGAUGGAGAGAUGUCUCCCUCUCUGCCCUAAAAACAAAACCUCGCCUGUGGUCCCUCUGUUUGGAACAUGGACAAUGACUUGCUUGUCUGGUGGGAGCUCGUGGAGAAGCCAGGACGCCUGGUGGUAGGCAGAGGCCACGCUCAAUGCUGAAGCGCACCCUUUGUACCAAGGGACUGGCUGAGAAUGGAGCAGAACGUGAGCAGAAGUGAAGAGGGAGAGAAUAAUGAAGAAAUCAAAUGGAGAAGCUAAGUAAAGCUUUACUUUCUGAGACUGUUGCAGGAGGGUUAAAUAUUUGCUGGGCAGGAGCGUUUUGGUAAGGUGUGCAGCUUUAGUUGCUGGUGGUUGAAGUUAAGCCGGAGUGCAAACCUAUAUGAUACUACUCUACAAUGUGUGUAGCCUACAGAAUUUAGACAGAAGACUAGAUACAGGCAUGACAGGGUUAUAAUUUUUACAGAUGAGGUUUACAAUAAUUAACCUGAAUCCUUAGAGAAAUUACUGUCCUCUCCCUAUAGUAUUUGUAUUUGGUGAGAAGAGUACUUAAGGUCAAAGUAUGCAGGUAGGCAUCAUAGUUCAAAUUAAUUAGUAAACCAAUAAGCAGGGGUUUUUUUAAAGUCUCUUCAUUAAAACAACAAAAAAAGUAAUGAAGGUACUUUUCUAGUAUGUUUAUCAGGAAACUACUUUACACGUGUCUCUUAUCAGCAGAGAUAAGAAAAGGGAAACACGUGCUAUAUGGGCUUCCUGUUGUGAAUAUGGGAAGCUGGGAAUAAAUCUUUGGUCUGUAACUGAUAAAUCUAGAACAGUUAGUUCUUGCUUCUUUGCUCCAGAACUUGAAAACAUUUGGUAUAGAUGGCUAUGUCUAUUUUUUCUACUUUACCUUUGAUUUAAAAGAAGAAAAAAAACAAGAAAGUAAAUGAAUGCUGCAUUUUAUAAAGUAUCUACAAGUAGGAUAGAAUUUGUUUCCUUCAGGACUAAUACUCCUUGAUGCCAGACCGUGUCUCACUGCUUUGGUAUAAGCUGAAGGAACCACUGCAACAGAUUCCUCCCUUCUGGGCCUGUAGUGACUGUCAGUGCUGGUGACACUGCUUCCCCGCAGCAGCGCUACAUCAACGAGGCUGUGCCACUGGCUGGCUUCAACUCAGCCAUGCAAGGUUACUGUGAACCUUUGCCUGGAGGAUAAUUAAACCACUCAAGGAAAAAAUAUCUCCUCAGCACAUCUGGAUGUGGAAAUUUACUGCCAUCAAAAUUACAAUUGUGGUCAACUAACUUUCAAAAGAAGUGACCGUCUUCUUAUACAAGGAAACAUAUCCGUGCUUUAAACCCUGCUUCAUGGGGCUCUUUGUCAGCACUAAAAGCCAUUCUGCUGUUUAAUUCUCCACUUACUUUUACUCUUUAGUGGUCCUUCCCACUUACCUGACACAAAUGUUAUAUCCCAUGCUGGUGUUUGGAUGGAUUCUGUUGAGAAUAAAAGUGAGGAGAAGCAACGAUCGGCACAGCAGCUUGGUACGUAGGUGGCACAUGGAGGCUGCUGCACACUUGUAGGACCUGGGGAAAUCUUUAGGCUUUCUGUACUUUAGAUUCAAUCUAUUAAAUGAUAAUAGUCUCUCCUUAGCAACAUGGUUUUGAGAGGAGAUGAUAGAAUCAUCAAGGUGAGUGAAGGGACUGCGCUUGUGGAAACUUACGUGCUGAACAGAGGUUUGGUAAAUGGCAUGUACUUGUCUUGCUAGGAUUUUCUUGCCAGGAUGUGUGGAUUAGCCAGUGUCAUUAGCAUCUGCCUUCACAGUCUUUUUUAGCCUUUCAUGUUCCAAAGGAAGAGGAGAAAGGCCAGAAGUUGCUGCUCUUCAAGUCAGCUGCAAGACAUCACUGGCUUCAGCAGGAAAAGGGGAGGGCAAUGCAAUGAAGCUCUUUGCUGCCAUUAAUAUUGUUGGAGGGGGAAGGAUGGCAGCUCUGAGAAUGAGUUAAGGGAAAAUAUUCUAACAGUACAAAUAGCCCAUGGUAAAAAGGAUACUAUUUGAGUUGCCUGGCUGAUGAAGUGGAUUUAUCCUUCGUGGAAUUUCCCUAGCAGGCUUGCAGACUUUUUGUUUCAUUUUUUUUUCCUUUUGCACAGUAUUUUUAUUACCAGAUUGGGGCUUAAUCUGAGUCCCCUGGAAACCAAUUAGAGAAGUUGAAUUUGGCAGAACUGGAUGAGCUUUGAUAUAUGCAUUAUAUGAACUAUUUCUAUCCAUCAAACUCCUACCAGUUAAUGCAUCUUGGUAAGUUCCAAACAGUUGCACAACACUUCUCUAAACAUCACUGCUGCAGACUUGAUCCACAAAGAGUCAUCUUAACCUGAAUCUUUUUUAGGGUUUCUAUGCUGCUCAGGACUUUGACUCUGCUCUGUUUCUGCUGUAUAUGUUCUCUUUAGUGUUGAGGUGGGGGGUUUCUCUUUGUUUUGGGAGUUGGGUUUUUUGUUGUUGCUGUUCAAUUUCUAAUAAUUUAAGGUCUAAAUUACUUCCAUGGCAUGUUCUGUUUAAAAAGUGCUAGUUGGCUUGAAUUGUUGAAUGUUUAUGUUUUACAUUUGUGUAAGGGGUGAGUGGGGAAAUAGAGAUGUGUGGAAGAUUUGUAGCUCUGUUUUAAACUAGAUGACCAAACCUUGUGGAAGCUGGUAAUGCAGCUGCCGCUGUGCCAAGCUGAGACAUUAUUUCAUUCCGGAAGCCUCUGAUGGCUUUCCCAUCCCUGCCAAGGCAUGUAGACUGGCACAGAGACUCUGUUCCUUUUACCUUCUAGUCUAGAGUGUAACUUAGGACUUAUUUCACUUCAUGUUAGUUGCUGUUUUCAGAACCAAUUUUAGUGAAGCCUGGGAUUUUUGUUAUGUUAAGCACUCCUCAGUCUUGAGUUGCAUCUUGGCUCAUAGUCUGCUUUGCCUGAGCAAACUGAUGAUACCAAGUUGUACAAGACUUUCUUUUUGUCUUUAUUCUCACUGUAAUCCCAGUCUUGUGUUUACCUCUUACAAAACUAGUUCCCCCCUCCCACCCAAGCAAUAUCCUGCGAUGGUAAAACUCCAAAGUUCUUCUCAGAUCAGAAGCAUAUGGGAUUGAUGCAAUGUUUAUGUAAACAGCAAUCAAUGGAUCCCUGUCAAACAACAGUUACUCUUAGCUAUGGGUAUGACACACAGCAUCUGCUUAAAGACCAGCAUGUUUUUUAACCUCCUGAUGAUAUAUGGUUUGUCUGUUUCUUGCAAAGGCUAGUAAAACUCUAUGCAGUGGAAGUACACUAGAAAUGCUUGUCCCUAUAACCCAUAAAACAGAUGAAUUCAGAAUGCUGGUGCAUUUCAUUAUGAAGCAACGAUAAUCCCCUCCAGCUGGAUGCUCCCCACAAUCCUGCUCAUCUGUGUCCAUGCAUGAUAAGCUUUUGGAGUCCAACCAAAUCUGGGUAUUGGUCUUCUCAUAUGCAGAUCUGUGGUUUUUCAGGAGCUGGGUUGCUGUUUCUGUUCCCCCUCUUAGCUUAAGCCUUGGAGAAGGGAUGAGCUCUUCAGGCAUGUGUGAAAAAUCAGGUGUGGCACAGUACCUAGAGAAGCACAGGCAACCACAGCUGCAGCAAUACCUACCUAUUUCCUCAGGGACCUCCAGGGACUUGCACUGCAGUGACCUGGACUGCCCUGGACUCUUCAAGGAUUGGCUUCUAUUUAGCAUCAGGAGCCUUUUUUGUCAAGUCCAGCCGUCUGUCCACAAUUCAAGCACUGCUCUGUGCUCACCAUCUGUGAAAGUGCAUUUUUAUGUGUCUGUGUUUCCUGUGUCACUGCAAGCCCCUGAGUCUUUCUAAAGCUCUGCUCUGCCAUGUCUGCCUGCUAGGCAUGAUGAGAUGUUUUUCUGCUCAUUCUGUACCCAUUGGGUUAAUGUCUGACAGCAAUUAUAUUCCUUCAAAACAACUUCCCUCUAUGCAUUUUUUUUAACAUAUUACAUUUUCUGAUGGCUGAAUAAAACCUGUGUGUUUUGGUAGAUAAUUGAGCAAGGCAUCUGAACCAAAGCCCUUUAGAAUCAAGGGGAAGAUCACUGUUACCUCCAAAGAGUCUUGGAUUAAUCCCUACAUCCUUUCAUUGACUGAGACCCUGAAAAACUUGGCUUUUAGUUGAGGUGUAAUGAACUCCUCAACACUUGCGUGUCUGUGAGCAGGAGAACUUCUCCUUGUUAAAAGUACAGAUGUAAUUCUUAGCAGAUCUGAGGCUUCAAAUAUGAAAUGAGACAUAAGAAACAACCUUCCCUUCUUCAACAGCCUUUAGAUUCAAAUCCAGUUUGAAAAUGCUCAUUGCUGACACAAAACCAAUGAUGAUGGUUAAACUGCUGUGGCUUAUUCUGGAGUCCUUGCCAUUGCAUUUGUCUGCCUCCUUCGACUGCAGUUUGGGUUUUCUUGUUGUGAUUUCCCAGCUUGUGCAUGGCUCGUUAAUAGAAUUACCUGGGGAUGGUUAGGGCAGGCAUUUGCUUUUAUCUCAUCAGUGCUAAAAGAAGUAAAAGCAAAUGAUUGGUAUAAAUAGCCUCACUUGGCUUGACUUGAAAACUGACCUAGAAACUAAACCAAUAACAAACUGCAAGCAACAGCUUUUAAAGGGGCUGUUUCACAUAUGCUUGCUUGUAGAAGUUAACCACGUGAGAAGCCAGCCCAGGCUCCCCAAGAAAAUCCAAUCACUCCCCCCCAGUUCUGCUCUAACCACAGGGGUACUUGGGCUGUGUUUGCAGGGUGUCUCCUCUACAAAAGCUGAAAUCUUCUUAGUCCUGUAGUAUCACCACUCUAGUAUUGCUGGUUUGCUUUUCCAGCCUGAUUUUUUUAUGCAGUUGUCUGAAAAACAGAAGUGAUUGUGCAUAUUCACAGCUCCAGGAGGAGCAAAUUUCCCUACCCUUUUCUUCUUUUGGCAUCCCCAAACAAACACCUGGCCUUCCUGCCAGGUAUUCUGCCCCAGAGGAAGGCUUGUCUUCCUCUUUUCAACAGGCAAAUCUUUAGUUACUUAAGUAAAACAGUUACUCAAAAUUUGCUUUAUCAACAGCCUUGAGAAAUUUAAAACCUUCAGCAGACAGAGUGGGUUUUUUUCCUCUUGAAGCUGACUGGAAUAACUGUCUGAUCUUCUUCCUUUUAAUUUCAAUGACCAGUUCAGCCCCUGCCGAGAGUGGGAAUGGGCCAAAAUAAUUACUAUCUGAAAACAGCCUAAUGCAGUGCAAGAUAAAAUAACCCAGAAGUUGUAAGACUAUGGAAUAAAAAAGCAAUCUAAUCCCCUGGUCUGCUUUCCUUCAUACUAUGUGUCAUAGGAGCUCACUUAAGAAAGAGCUAAACCAUUUCCUGGAGUUCAUGGUUGCACAUUUUUAGGAAGAUAAAUGAUCCUUGUGCUUCUGUGAGAGUCUGCCAGCAGCUCCCUUGGUCUUGCAGCAGGAGUGCUGAGGACCUCAGAGUUCAUGGGCAGAGCUGGUUCCUGGAGACAAAUACUACCAGGUGAAGUAUUUUGCCUGAGCAGUGCUGAGACUGCUUACAUUAUGUUUGGAGUUUGAUGGGGGUUUUUUCCCCAUUUUUAUGAGUGAAUGAGAUCUUUUGAUCUGCUGGCCCAUGAGAGGAGCACCUUCUUAUCCUGCAGAUGUUAAUUAAUUGUCUGUCAGUUGCCACAGCCUGAAAAAACCCAGCUUCUGUUGAGAACUGCUUAGGUGCUAAGUGUUUCAUAGAACACCUCUCACAAAGCCCUCAGGUGUUCACUUGCUAUCUAGGCAGCUCUUAAUCUUAACUCGAUGAUCACUUGUAUUUUUCAUACACCUGUCUUGGAGAUUGUAUAAUCUUCCUUCCCAGGAUCCACAGUGUUGUCAGCUUCCAUUAACUCGCUGUAAAUCUCAAUAUUAUUCUCUAAGCCUUUAGUUGCUUGAAUCAUAUGAUUACGAGAGCAGCUUAGCUUUCAUUACAAAAGUGUUGCUAGCAUACGUGGCUGCCAACGAGGCUUGGAGACCAAGGGCAAGAAGCAAAGAAAAUGUCUCCCAUGUAUUUAAGGAUUAGGAGUUUUCUUCUGUUAUUUUUAAGGAAAAUUCUCUACUUUGGGCCACUGGAAUUUCUGACUGGGUCAGAUCAGUGACACUGAGCAGGGGAUUUAGCAGUAGGACUGCAGCAGCAGAGCUGCUGCUGUGACUGAGGCAGCAGUAGGUGGGU